UUAAGCGACUAAGCGUACACGGUGGAUGCCCUGGCAGUCAGAGGCGAUGAAGGACGUGCUAAUCUGCGAAAAGCGUCGGUAAGGUGAUAUGAACCGUUAUAACCGGCGAUGUCCGAAUGGGGAAACCCAGUGCAAUUCGUUGCACUAUCGUUAACUGAAUACAUAGGUUAACGAGGCGAACCGGGGGAACUGAAACAUCUAAGUACCCCGAGGAAAAGAAAUCAACCGAGAUUCCCCCAGUAGCGGCGAGCGAACGGGGAGCAGCCCAGAGUCUGAAUCAGCUUGUGUGUUAGUGGAACGGUCUGGAAAGUCCGACGGUACAGGGUGAUAGUCCCGUACACCAAAAUGCACAGGCUGUGAACUCGAAGAGUAGGGCGGGACACGUGGUAUCCUGUCUGAAUAUGGGGGGACCAUCCUCCAAGGCUAAAUACUCCUGACUGACCGAUAGUGAACCAGUACCGUGAGGGAAAGGCGAAAAGAACCCCGGCGAGGGGAGUGAAAAAGAACCUGAAACCGUGUACGUACAAGCAGUGGGAGCACCUUCGGGUGUGACUGCGUACCUUUUGUAUAAUGGGUCAGCGACUUAUAUUCUGUAGCAAGGUUAACCGUAUAGGGGAGCCGCAGGGAAACCGAGUCUUAACUGGGCGUUAAGUUGCAGGGUAUAGACCCGAAACCCGGUGAUCUAGCCAUGGGCAGGUUGAAGGUUGGGUAACACUAACUGGAGGACCGAACCGACUAAUGUUGAAAAAUUAGCGGAUGACUUGUGGCUGGGGGUGAAAGGCCAAUCAAACCGGGAGAUAGCUGGUUCUCCCCGAAAGCUAUUUAGGUAGCGCCUCGUGAACUCAUCUUCGGGGGUAGAGCACUGUUUCGGCUAGGGGGUCAUCCCGACUUACCAACCCGAUGCAAACUACGAAUACCGAAGAAUGUUAUCACGGGAGACACACGGCGGGUGCUAACGUCCGUCGUGAAGAGGGAAACAACCCAGACCGCCAGCUAAGGUCCCAAAGUCAUGGUUAAGUGGGAAACGAUGUGGGAAGGCACAGACAGCCAGGAUGUUGGCUUAGAAGCAGCCAUCAUUUAAAGAAAGCGUAAUAGCUCACUGGUCGAGUCGGCCUGCGCGGAAGAUGUAACGGGGCUAAACCAUGCACCGAAGCUGCGGCAGCGACACUAUGUGUUGUUGGGUAGGGGAGCGUUCUGUAAGCCUGCGAAGGUGUGCUGUGAGGCAUGCUGGAGGUAUCAGAAGUGCGAAUGCUGACAUAAGUAACGAUAAAGCGGGUGAAAAGCCCGCUCGCCGGAAGACCAAGGGUUCCUGUCCAACGUUAAUCGGGGCAGGGUGAGUCGACCCCUAAGGCGAGGCCGAAAGGCGUAGUCGAUGGGAAACAGGUUAAUAUUCCUGUACUUGGUGUUACUGCGAAGGGGGGACGGAGAAGGCUAUGUUAGCCGGGCGACGGUUGUCCCGGUUUAAGCAUGUAGGCUGGUUGUCCAGGCAAAUCCGGAUAAUCAAGGCUGAGGUGUGAUGACGAGGCACUACGGUGCUGAAGUAACAAAUGCCCUGCUUCCAGGAAAAGCCUCUAAGCAUCAGGUAACAUCAAAUCGUACCCCAAACCGACACAGGUGGUCAGGUAGAGAAUACCAAGGCGCUUGAGAGAACUCGGGUGAAGGAACUAGGCAAAAUGGUGCCGUAACUUCGGGAGAAGGCACGCUGGUGUGUAGGUGAAGUCCCUGCGGAUGGAGCUGAGACCAGUCGAAGAUACCAGCUGGCUGCAACUGUUUAUUAAAAACACAGCACUGUGCAAACACGAAAGUGGACGUAUACGGUGUGACGCCUGCCCGGUGCCGGAAGGUUAAUUGAUGGGGUUAUCCGUAAGGAGAAGCUCUUGAUCGAAGCCCCGGUAAACGGCGGCCGUAACUAUAACGGUCCUAAGGUAGCGAAAUUCCUUGUCGGGUAAGUUCCGACCUGCACGAAUGGCGUAAUGAUGGCCAGGCUGUCUCCACCCGAGACUCAGUGAAAUUGAACUCGCUGUGAAGAUGCAGUGUACCCGCGGCAAGACGGAAAGACCCCGUGAACCUUUACUAUAGCUUGACACUGAACAUUGAGCCUUGAUGUGUAGGAUAGGUGGGAGGCUUUGAAGCGUGGACGCCAGUCUGCGUGGAGCCAACCUUGAAAUACCACCCUUUAAUGUUUGAUGUUCUAACGUUGGCCCCUUACCGGGGUUGCGGACAGUGUCUGGUGGGUAGUUUGACUGGGGCGGUCUCCUCCCAAAGCGUAACGGAGGAGCACGAAGGUUAGCUAAUCCUGGUCGGACAUCAGGAGGUUAGUGCAAUGGCAUAAGCUAGCUUGACUGCGAGCGUGACGGCGCGAGCAGGUGCGAAAGCAGGUCAUAGUGAUCCGGUGGUUCUGAAUGGAAGGGCCAUCGCUCAACGGAUAAAAGGUACUCCGGGGAUAACAGGCUGAUACCGCCCAAGAGUUCAUAUCGACGGCGGUGUUUGGCACCUCGAUGUCGGCUCAUCACAUCCUGGGGCUGAAGUAGGUCCCAAGGGUAUGGCUGUUCGCCAUUUAAAGUGGUACGCGAGCUGGGUUUAGAACGUCGUGAGACAGUUCGGUCCCUAUCUGCCGUGGGCGCUGGAGAAUUGAGGGGGGCUGCUCCUAGUACGAGAGGACCGGAGUGGACGCAUCACUGGUGUUCGGGUUGUCAUGCCAAUGGCACUGCCCGGUAGCUAAAUGCGGAAGAGAUAAGUGCUGAAAGCAUCUAAGCACGAAACUUGCCCCGAGAUGAGUUCUCCCUGAGACUUUAAGUCUCCUGAAGGAACGUUGAAGACGACGACGUUGAUAGGCCGGGUGUGUAAGCGCAGCGAUGCGUUGAGCUAACCGGUACUAAUGAACCGUGAGGCUUAACCUU
rnacentral:rRNA from 1 species